rnacentral:rRNA from 1 species
CCUACGGGUGGCAGCAGUGAGGAAUAUUGGUCAAUGGCCGAGAGGCUGAACCAGCCAAGUCGCGUGAGGGAAGACGGCCCUACGGGUUGUAAACCUCUUUUGUCGGGGAGCAAAGCGAGUCACGUGUGACUCAUUGAGAGUACCCGAAGAAAAAGCAUCGGCUAACUCCGUGCCAGCAGCCGCGGUAAUACGGAGGAUGCGAGCGUUAUCCGGAUUUAUUGGGUUUAAAGGGUGCGCAGGCGGAGUUGCAAGUCAGCGGUCAAAUUGCGGGGCUCAACCCCGUACUGCCGUUGAAACUGCAUGCCUUGAGUGGGAGAGAAGUAUGCGGAAUGCGUGGUGUAGCGGUGAAAUGCAUAGAGAUCACGCAGAACUCCGAUUGCGAAGGCAGCAUGCCGGCGCUAAACUGACGCUCAGGCACGAAAGUGUGGGUAUCGAACAGGAUUAGAUACCCGGGUAGUC